UGAAUACGAGAUGCUACGGCGUCGAAGCAGUCUAUGUCAUACUUCCAAGAAAAGCUCGCACUGUCAUAAACAAAUAAUGCCUGUACCAUAACCGACACAUGUGGGUAGGUAGAGUAUACUAAGGGGCGCGAGAUAACUCUCUCUAAGGAACUCGGCAAAAUGACUCCGUAACUUCGGGAGAAGGAGUGCCUUAUUUAUAAGGUUGCAAUAACAAGAUCCAAGCAACUGUUUAUCAAAAACACAGGUCUCCGCUAAGUCGUAAGACGAUGUAUGGGGGCUGACGCCUGCCCAGUGCCAGAAGGUUAAAGAAGUUGGUUAGCAUUCGCGAAGCUGAUAACUGAAGCCCUGGUGAACGGCGGCCGUAACUAUAACGGUCCUAAGGUAGCGAAAUUCCUUGUCGGGUAAGUUCCGACCCGCACGAAAGGCGUAAUGAUUUGGAUACUGUCUCGGAGAGGGGCUCGGUGAAAUAGACUUGUCUGUGAAGAUGCGGACUACCUGCACCAGGACAGAAAGACCCUAUGAAGCUUUACUGUAACUUGAGAUUGAAAUUGGACUUUACUUGCGCAGUAUAGGUGGGAGGCGUUGAUAAUAUUCUUGCGGGAUUAUUUGAGCCAUCAGUGAGAUACCACUCUUGUAAUGUUAGAUUUCUAACUUUGUAUCAUUAUCUGGUCAAAGGACAGUUUCAGGCGGGCAGUUUGACUGGGGCGGUCGCCUCCUAAACGGUAACGGAGGCGCACAAAGGUUUCCUCUGAACGGGUAGAAAUCGUAUCUAGAGUGUAAAGGCAUAAGGAAGCUUGACUGUGAGACCUACAAGUCGAGCAGGGACGAAAGUCGGUCUUAGUGAUCUGACGGUGCUGAGUGGAAAGGCCGUCACUCAACGGAUAAAAGUUACUCUAGGAUAACAGGCUGAUCUCCCCCAAGAGUUCACAUCGACGGGGAGGUUUGGCACCUCGAUGUCGGCUCAUCGCAUCCUGGGGCGGUAGUACGUCCCAAGGGUUGGGCUGUUCGCCCAUGAAAGCGGUACGCGAGCUGGGUUCAGAACGUCGUGAGACAGUUCGGUCCAUAUCCGGUGUAGGCGUUAGAAUAUUGAGAGGAGCCUUCUUUAGUACGAGAGGACCGAGAAGGACAUACCUCUGGUGUACCAGUUAUCGUGCCAACGGUAAACGCUGGGUAGCUAUGUAUGGAGUGGAUAACCGCUGAAAGCAUCUAAGUGGGAAGCCCACCUCAAGAUAAGUAUUCUC
rnacentral:rRNA from 1 species